rnacentral:lncRNA from 1 species
GCUGAGGGCCCCGGGCGUGUCGCUGAGCUGACCGCGGGACCCCCGGAGGCGGACGGCGAGGCAUGGCGACGCGGGCCCGCGGCUUCUCGCUGCUCCGGGGCCGUCUGGGCCGAGGGCCUGUGCGAGCCCCGGGCGUCGCCGAGCGCGCGUGGCGCGGCUUCGGGAGCAGCGGCCGGAGGGCCAGCAGAGAGAAGAGACUCCAUCUUCCAGAGGUUGCCACUGUCUGCCUCCCCAUUCAGUCAUCUUUUUAAGUGACACCUCAUUUGUCUGGUCCCUCAUUGUCACACUUAACAUCAUUCCUGUUGGCAUGACAUUUGAAUCAUAGUAUAUUUUUUUAUUGGAAAUUAUCCUUGAUUACAUAAACUCUUUCCUCAGUGACAUUAACUAUUUUAAAUUAACCAAUUUGUCACAUUUUAGAGCCCUUAAGUGGAAAAAGAUUGUUGACGUUUUUUUAUUUCUUGUCUCAGUAGACACCUAUAAAAAUGGAACACACUAAGUAUUCUUUACAUGGAAGGUUAAUUUAGUAUGUUGAAUUUCAAGAAAUAAUAUUUGAUUCAAUUUGGAAGCUAUAAGAUCUCAUAACAUUAUUUACUAUUCAUUUUGCAAUAACUUUUCCCUUCAAAAUUCUUUGUUAGCUAUCCUAUUUAUGCAUGAAAAUUACAGCUUAAUAAAUGAGGGAAAUUAAUGU